GCUAGUAAAUCAUACUCUAUCGUCUUGACUUAAAGUAUAGUUCAAUUCAAUCAGCGCUACUUUUUAUUUUGUCAUUAAGACGUAUAAAAUGACCUGUGAUGCUUGUAGUGUAUUGAAUCAGACAUUUGCUCGGGUUUCGUUUGGCGUGUACACAAAUCCGAUUGAUAUUUCGAAAUGUUUUCCGUCAUCAAAUGUUUUUUGUUCUUGUUGGGUCUUUUGUUGGCUUUUGAGGAUGGAGACGCUCAUUGGAUCGGAGGUUGGGGUAGGGGCUGGGGACCUCCCGUGGUGGUAGGCGGGUUCGGAUAUGGGAUCUAUAGACCAUAUCCGCGUCCCAUAUUCUAUCCGCCGCCUCCCCCUCCUCCAUUUUUCGGAUAAAUCCAGAGUUGUAUACACGAAAUCAAAAGAUCUUUAUUUUCUGCUAACGGACCCGGCAGACUUCGUAGUGCCUUAAUCGAUAAAUAAAAGACCUAAACUUUUGUGUAAAAUAGGCUUAAAACAAACAAAAGGAAUUCGUCCGACGGGGGACACAUCAAAGGGAAAACAAAAUUGUUAUUUUUAUUUAAUUCCGAGCAUUUUCAUAUUUAUCUACCUUUUAAACCUUCUCUGGACUUCCACAAAUAAUUCAAGACCAAAAUUAGCCAAAUCGGCCCAGCCGUUCUCGAGUUUUAGCGAGACUAACGAACAGCAAUUCAUUUUUAUAUAUAUAGAUGAAUAUUAAAAAAAAAAACUGAAUUUCUAAUGAAGUUUAUGUAAAGAGUGUUUUGAAAUGUCACGCCAAGUUAUUUGUUUUCCGACUGUGGGUUCAUCCACGUAAAAAAAAGUUGUUUGUAGAUUAGGCAUAAGAUGUGUAUUUAUUCAUACGAAACUAUAUAGAUGGGAGUAGGUAGAUAAUUAAUCUAUAAUAGGUAAUCGGAUUCUAUCAGAAAAUAAUGUAAAAAGUAAUUACUAGUGACCUUAAUUUAGUUAUAAUUAUCUGUGAAUUGUUGCUUUUGUGACAUCGCGAUGUUUUAAAUGUUACACUAAGCAAUAUAUUCUCACGUCACACGUGGUUAAGCUCUACGUAUUAGUCCAUGAUUUAAGUUAGCUAUUGACCACGUUUGACGUCACACGUAAGGCUGGGUUCACACCGCUUUAUCCUGCACGUUUAUUUGCAGUAUACGUCUUAUCGAAUAGUGUAGACAAUGUCGUGCGAACCCAACCUAAAGUUGCGUUCGGUCGAAAAGUAGCAGCCAAGUGAGACCAUUAAAAAACAUAGUUUCUCUGACCAUAGCACCGGCUUUGGAUGCGUUUCCCAAUCGAGAUCGGCAUAUUUGCCAAAUACAUCUGGUAUCCUCCAAACUUCGGUAUAAAUAUUUUCCCAUAAUUUCGGGCGAAAUCAUAAUUUUGCAUCAGAGAAAAUUUGCACACGGUGCGUUGACAACAAAUUAUUAUCCUUAUUUGAGAGUAAUGUAUCGGGAUUCAUAGGUUAAAAUCUCAUUUAAAUUUGAUUGAUUGAUAGAGAAAAAUUCCACACGUAUAACUGAUUGCUGUGAUAAAAAGAAAUUAUUAUCCUUAUUUGACAGUAAUGUUUUGGGAUUAACCUCAUUUAAAUUUUGAUUGAUUGUUAGAGAAAAAUUGCACAAGUAUAAUUAAUAUUUAAAACAAAUUUAAAAGUAUAUCUUUUGAAUAUACAAGAAAAAUUCGAAAAUAUCAAAUAUAAUUACUCCGUACUAUAAUUAAUUAUGCUUUGCAACUGCAAUUUUUAUUUAAUUAAUUUAAUAAUGUAAUUUUGUUGUCCUUUUCAUAACUGUUUUUUUUUAUUAUUCAUGUUCUUUUUGGAACGAAGUUCCUUACGGCAGGCUUGGAGGGGAUAGGGAUUUUGCUGCGCGACCGAACUGAAAAAAAUGUGAUAGUUAAACCGUAAGAAAAAAUCCGUGGAAAAAAUUGCGUGGAAUAAAACCGUUAAAUGAGACGUGCGCAGGCGCGACAGUCGCAUACACAAGCAAGUAGUGUAUAAUACCUUUCUCUUUCUCCCUCUUUUUAUUAUUAUUCAUAUAAAUAUCUGUUUCUUGGUAUAUUAAUAUUAUAUAUUUUUUAUAAAUCAUUGUAAAUAAAAUAAAGUUGAUAACUUUGUAAAGUAUUUUUUUUAUCAAUAAAAAAGUCAUAAUAACGAAUAGAACUUAAAAUUAAUAAUAUUUAUAUAAUAAGGAACUUCGUUCCUAUCCGGUGUCCCACGACACCACACAUCUUUUUAUUUUUUAAUAUAUUUUACAAUGUUGUGUAUUGGUCGGUCUGAUGCUGGUGGGCGCGUCACUCCGCAGGUGCCGGCGGGAGAUCAGCGCCGCAGUACCGAUUGUCUCGAUACUGUUAGGAAUUGCUGAGCCGGUAACCGUUUCCAAGCCUCGUUAUUUUUUUUAUCUUUUUAUUUAAUUUUUUGUACUUAAUUUGUGUGUUGGAAUAAAUGUUUAUUAUUAUUA